CCUACGGGAGGCUGCAGUGAGGAAUAUUGGUCAAUGGACGAGAGUCUGAACCAGCCAAGUAGCGUGAAGGAUGACUGCCCUAUGGGUUGUAAACUUCUUUUAUAUGGGAAUAAAAUGUUCCACGUGUGGGAUUUUGUAUGUACCAUAUGAAUAAGGAUCGGCUAACUCCGUGCCAGCAGCCGCGGUAAUACGGAGGAUCCGAGCGUUAUCCGGAUUUAUUGGGUUUAAAGGGAGCGUAGGUGGAUUGUUAAGUCAGUUGUGAAAGUUUGCGGCUCAACCGUAAAAUUGCAGUUGAAACUGGCAGUCUUGAGUACAGUAGAGGUGGGCGGAAUUCGUGGUGUAGCGGUGAAAUGCUUAGAUAUCACGAAGAACUCCGAUUGCGAAGGCAGUUCACUGGACUGCAACUGACAUUGAGGCUCGAAAGUGUGGGUAUCAAACAGGAUUAGAUACCCUAGUAGUC
rnacentral:rRNA from 1 species